AAUUUGCAGCUUCACGGGGGUUUCUCGGUAGUUCAUGAAUUUCGGGUCCCCAACGGGAGGCUGUUCUGAGUGCCUUUAUUCAUUGGAAGGUUCUUGGUCGUAUUCGAGGCAACAGUGAAGCAGUAUAAUUUUGCAUCCAUUUUGUCUGUUUUAGGUAAGUUUUUAAAGUGUCAGAUUUUAAGGUCAGGUUGAUUCACAUUUUAUAAAAAAGAGUGAGUCUGUGCUUUAGCUCACUCAGAAGAGUAUGUUGCUCCUUAUGCAAUUUUAGAUUUGGCUGGGAAGUUUGAUGGGCAUGGAAUAAAAUUUUGCUUUCAAAAUUUUUCCCCUACUACUGCUUACCACACUUUUUGUACAGUGGCAAAAUAUUGACACCUUUUUAAAAAUAUCUUUGUAUUCCUUGUAACAGUGAAAUCGUGAUUGAUUUUAAACCCUGGCAGUUUGAAACUCUAGGUUUUGAAACCAUUGCAUUUUCUAAUAAAGACAAGACAUGCUUUUCAUCUUAUUGUAUGCUUUGGCUGGACACUUAAAUUAGAAACAAUGGGAGCAAUUGUUAGAUAAAUGAGCUACAAAUUAAAAUAGAGCCAAGUUUAAAAGGGACACUAUAGCUUUUCAAAAACGGGUAUGGAACGAAUAUAUUGAACAUAGCACUAUCACUGUGUUAACAGGAAAUAGAAAAAUUCCAGUGAUUCAGAACUUCUGUCGGCUUUUUUUUUUCCCCUUAAAUCUAAUCAGUUUCUAGUAGACAGUGCUUAAGAUUUAAAUCUUCAAAGGAUCAACUAAAAACCGAAUGUGUUAAUAGAUGACUAAGUCACCCACUGAGUUUACUCUGUUAUUUCAUUUUUCUCUUGGGCACGUGGACUACCUUUUCCUGAGUUCAGAAGAAUUCUCGAGGGAUACUGAAAUGCAAGCCAUUUAGCCCUCUUUAGUGAACCCUCUUUAGUCACAUAGUAGAACCUGUGCUUUUGUAACUCAUUUAGGAGUAGAUGAUAAGAGCCUCAUCUGAUACAAAUUUCCUGGAAAAUAAAUUUUAACUUUAUGAAAUAUUACCUAUAUUUGGUCCUCUCCCUAGUGGAAAGUAGUGUUUGCCAAAACUUGCAUGCAGUUAUUGCAUCUAGUGAAAUCACGUUUUUAAACUGCAGAGUUAAGUAGAUCUCCAAUUAUGUUAUUAUUGAGUAUUGCUUCUUUAGUAUUAGUAAUAUAUUACCCUCAGGUAAGUGUCUUAACGUGAUUAGUCUUGUGUCUUGACAGAAAUAAAAAUUUAUUCUACUUCUUUAGUUUUCCCUGUAAGGAAAAUUCGUUUCUCACAAUACUGUUUCGGAUGAAAUCUAUGUAUGUAUCUGUGAACAUAUGUCAUUCUGAAAAAUAGGUGUAAUGUAGACCAUUUACACGAAACUUUGUGAGUUUCAUGUGAAAAGAAAAAAGUCCCAUGAGGAAUGUGUGAAUUUUCUGAAAUAGCAUUUUUUUAGUUGUAUAAAUUGAUCAAGACUAAAAAUUUAUUUUUUAAUAGUUAUCAACGUACUUUAAAAAGCAAAGUUUACCUUGUUAUAGAUGUUUUGGGGGGAAAAAAAGUUUCUGAUAAUCUUUACAACAUAGGAAGUUUAUAAGGUAAACUAGUUCAGAAAAGCUUCAGUUCCAUUAUAUCGCUACCUGGCCAGGCUCCCAUGACCCAGAAGAGAACAGGAGUAGACGUUUCCUUUGUUCCCACUUAUGUCAUUCUAAUUUGGUUCAUCUAAGAUUGGGACUCUAUAAAGUAGAAGGAUUAUGAGGUAAUAGAGGCAAAUGUGAAAAGGGAGCAAAAUAGUAAUAAGGAGGAAGAGGAUAAGAUGCUGGUAGAAGAUUAGAUGAACAGUUUUAGGCAACUAGGAGUUUGGAGGUGUAGGCUGGCAGCUGUAGCUCCCAUCAGACCCCUACCCUGGGAACUUCCACAUGCCAUGGGUACGGCCCUAAAAAAAAAAAGCAAAAUAAUAAAUGCUUUGUUUGAAGUAUAUUUUAUGUAGCCCCCUUAUCUCCUGACAAUGCUUGAUAAAUGAGGCUUUGCUGAAUGUCUUUUUUUCUUCUUAACAAUUUGAAUGUAAAACUUCAACAAGAGAUUGUAUUGCAUUUCCAGCAAUCUAUUACAGUUCAAAAUUUGGGAUCAGGAGUGGUAAAUUUCUUUUGACCUUUAGUAUCUUAACACUAACCCUUUUUACUGUUUCCUACAUAGUAAAAGAAAAAGAAACUAAUAUUUAUGGAAUACCUACUGGGUGCCAAGCUUUCACUUGUUUCACGAAUAUUUAUUGAGCACUUAGUGUGCCAGGAUCCUUUGAGAUGUCCUCGUACAGUUUACAUUUUCAGUAGUGGAAGGGACAUAAUAAAAGAGUAAAAUCAAGUGUGUCUGGGAGGAAAAAAGUACUGUGGAGAAAAUUAAAAUAGAAAGGGGUGAUUGAGAAACAAAUAUUGCAUAAUUGCUCUUUUAAAACCUGCAUAAUGUGUAUUAUCUUUGAUUUCAAAACCCAAAAUAUUCUAUACAUAAAUUUUACUUUGAUUAAGAACAUACCAUAUGAAAAAGAGUAGAUACAUAUGUGUAGCUGAAUCACUUUGCUGUACACCUGAAAUUAACACAACAUCGUAAAUAACUAUAUUUCAGUUUUUUAAAAAAGAAUAUACUUCAUAACUUGGAAACAACAUUAUGUUUGUACUUCAGACUUUCACUGAAUAGUGAUUUCCUAUUAGUGCCUCAAAAAGCUGCUUUGUGGCUCAAGAAAAAAUUUGGAGUCUGCUAUCCUGGUUUGAUGCCUGGUUUUGCCACUUACUGCUGGCUUUGUGUUUGGGGGCUAAUUACAAUUUCUCAGCAUCUGUGAGCUUGUUUUCUUCUCUGUAAAAUAAGUAUGGUGUCUGUAAGGUUGCUGUGAUGGUAAAUUACACAUUUUGUAAUUAUCUGAUACAUAGAAGGGGCUCAGUAAAUUACAACUUUUUUGUUGCUUAUCUGAAGUUUUGUUGUAAAACAAAUGUAGUGAAGUUGAUGGUCUUUCCAAAAAGCUCUCCUAGCACUGUGUGGGACAUCGUUUAGUAUACAUUUUAUUUGAACAGUUUAACAUUCUUCUUUGAUAGAAUAAUGUUAAGACUCAGUUGUAGUUUAGAGUCAUUAGUACUUUCUGGGGCGUUUGUACAUGUUGUCUAGUGGAUUAUACUAUCAGGAGUAAACCUAGUCUUCUUAUGGUGAAAAAGCAUUGUGACAUAUCUUGUUGAUGAGCUGGGGCAUUUUGACAAGUAGAUAUAAAUAUCAUAUAAGAUCGCAGCUCUUGGAAAUAUUUGUAAAACAUUUAGUGCAGUAUAAGUAUUCAACAAAUGUUCAUUUUGUCAUUAAUUGUUAUGCCUUUAUUGUUUGAAGAGGGAUAAUGCAAAAAUUUACAAAGUGUUAAAGAAGUCUUUUACAAAGAUAAAAUAAUGCAAGUUGUGGAUAAGAUUUUUGAAGAAAAGAGUGGAAUAGUCAAUCAAAUAGCAAUAUUUGUUUUUCAUUUUUAGCCUGGGGAAGCACUAGACUGAGUUUCUCAAGAUCAGACAAUGUCUUAUUUUCCUUUCAGUCUUGACUUUCCCAUAUCUUCAGUGUCUGGCCUGUCCUUCAGAGUUCAGGAAGUACUGUGUGUUCCAUGCAGAAUGAUUUAGUGAUAGUUUUCCUGUGUAUCACAAUGGUAGUAAGCACCUUCUGAGUUUGAACAGUACUUGCACUGGACUUAAGUCUUUGAAUCUCUAAUUUUAAGCCCAGACUAAGAUAUCCUGCAUAGUUUUCUGAAUGCCAUUUUUUUUUAAUUUAGCCAAAAGUUUGAAGAAAAAUCCUAGAAAUUGAAAGAAAUCAAUUGUUUGCAGCUGGAUUAGUAUUCAAUAACCUAUUCCUUUCAUGAAUGAACAAUCAUGAAGUCAUUAAUAGAAACCGCCCCCAAAAAAACCUAUUCCUAUAGUAGGAAAAUAAUUCAUACAUAAUUAUAUGCUUGUAACUAACCUUUAAAAGACAAGUUUCUGUCUUAUCUCUUUAAGGCAAUUUCAGUGAAACUAUAGAUUUAUACUUACUUUAUAAGUUAAAUGGCUCAGUCACUUUCUUACAAUCCUGUGAUGUGGGGAAUAUUGGUGUUUCCACAGAAAACAGAAAACAUCCCACCCCACCCUACUCUACUUUUAACAGUAACCAUUUUUCAGGUGUUUAAAGCUUAGCACCAGUCACCUUUUCCUGUUCUGUGGCAGGAUAGUCCCUGCCUAAUGAAUAAUAAUGUUAAUUCUCCUAAAACUGAAGACUUCCUUCAAGUUCUAAGAUCUUUAGUCAUUUGCUCAAAAUAUUUCUUGGCUUACAUGACACACAUUGCUUAAUAUUCAAAUUUGAUGUGAUACAGUACUGUUUUAGAAAUGAGAUAGAAAUACAUCCAAUUGAAUUUUUUUAUACUCUUGUGGGUUUUUGUUUGUUUGCUUGUUUUGAACUGUAACAGCCUGCAGUGUAUCAGUUUGAGUGGCUUAAGAAAGAAAGAAAGUCUGAUUUAUCUACUAACAGGUACAAUACAGACAAGGGCAUUUUAAGAAUUUGUAGUAUUUUAAUUACCUUGUUAAAAAAAAUGGCAUUCUUGUUUCAUUUAAGGAGAAAAAGAAAAACAAUCCUGGUAUAAACCUCAGAACCCAAAUAAUAAAGUAGAGAUUGAAGUGGCCCUGCAGAGAGAGACAGGAAAAGCAAGGGU
rnacentral:lncRNA from 1 species